rnacentral:rRNA from 1 species
GGCCAGACUCCUACGGGAGGCAGCAGUGGGGAAUAUUGCACAAUGGGGGAAACCCUGAUGCAGCGACGCCGCGUGAGUGAGGAAGUAUUUCGGUAUGUAAAGCUCUAUCAGCAGGGAAGAAAAUGACGGUACCUGACUAAGAAGCUCCGGCUAACUACGUGCCAGCAGCCGCGGUAAUACGUAGGGAGCAAGCGUUGUCCGGAAUUACUGGGCGUAAAGGGCGCGUAGGUGGGCGCUUAAGUCAGGUGUGAAAACUCCGGGCUCAACCUGGAGACUGCACUUGAAACUGGGUGUCUUGAGGGCAGGAGAGGAAAGUGGAAUUCCUAGUGUAGCGGUGAAAUGCGUAGAUAUUAGGAGGAACACCAGUGGCGAAGGCGACUAUCUGGCACAUAACUGACGCUGAGGAGCGAAAGCGUGGGUAGCAAACAGGAUUAGAUACCCGGGUAAA